rnacentral:rRNA from 1 species
AGCAGCCGCGGUAAUUCCAGCUCCAAUAGCGUAUAUUAAAGUUGUUGCAGUUAAAAAGCUCGUAGUUGAAUUUCGGGGUCAGCAAGUUGGUCGUGCCACCGGUAUGCACUGGCUUUGCUGAUUCCUCCUUCUUGUAGAACCGUAAUGCCAUUAAUUUGGUGUUGCGGGGAAACAGGACUGUUACUUUGAAAAAAUUAGAGUGUUUAAAGCAGGCUAACGCUUGAAUACAUUAGCAUGGAAUAAUGAAAUAGGACGACGAUCCUAUUUUGUUGGUUUCUAGGAUUGACGUAAUGAUUAAUAGGGAUAGUUGGGGGCAUUAGUAUUCAAUUGUCAGAGGUGAAAUUCUUGGAUUUAUUGAAGACUAACUACUGCGAAAGCAUUUGCCAAGGAUGUUUUCAUUAAUCAAGAACGAAAGUUAGGGGAUCGAAGACGAUCAGAUACCGUCGUAGUCUUAACCAUAAACUAUGCCGACUAGGGAUCGGAUGAUGUUAAUUUU